rnacentral:misc_RNA from 1 species
GGCAACACUACCAGAGAACAACCCCUUGGAAAAAGGUCCCAAUGAUAAUCCUAAAGAAGUAGUAGUUAAUCACAUUAUUUAGAUCAUCAAGCAUUAAUUUAUAGCUUUCCCAUAAAAAACAAUUCAUAAAUUAGAUAUGCAGAAUAUAAAAUCUGUAUGUGGUGAGCACAUCUUACAAAACAAUCAUUUGUCCUAGGAUAUUCCAUCAAAGCAACACAAAAAACAUACAAUUAUAAAGCUCAACGACGGAUAAAAUUGAUUCAUAUAUAAAAGUGUUUGUAUUACCCAGAUGAAUUCAGGACGA